CUCUCUCAGAAGAGGAUGUGGGCAGGACAGGCCCUUCCAGAUCACACAGGGCCACAUUCACUCUUGGUCUUUGUUCAAAGCAGAAGUGAAGUAAUUCUAAUUACUCCACACUUAAACAAAAGGUGAGAGCUAUGUUUUACUAAAAAUACACUUAAAUGGGGGUAGGCUGCCUAUUGGCCUCUUCGCAUGUGCACUGAUUUAUGAGUCAGAUUCACCGUUUGACAUCCGGGCUCUGAGACAUGAGACGCAGGAAAUAGGUUUCGGUCAGUGGAAGCAGAGCAGAAGGAGGUGGGCUCAGGGAGCUGGGACAGCGGACAGGGGCAGAGGGCCGGCGCCCUGCUGGGUGGCAGCAGCUGAAGGCACUUUUUCUCAUUUCACACCCUUUCCCGCGGUGGGCUCUGCCUCGUGCCUCACUUGCCUCGUGGGUAAAGUGGAAUGAGAGUGUGAGUAACGCCUGACCCUGACGAGCAGUGAGAGCUGCACAAAUUAGAUCAUGUCUCUAAAACCCGCACGGGAGGCUGGUCUAGGGGUGACCCACGCAAAUGAAAGUAAUAUUGUUAUGAAGUUUCAUCUUCAAGGAGAACAGUUACAUCAUGAUCAUUUCUUUCCCUAUUCAAUUAUGGCCAGCUGCUUCUUAGGAAAAAAAAAGGGACUGCAUUUACUGUAGGUCCUGCUUUGUAUUUGCCCCAAAUCCCAGCCACGUGUUUCUCCUGCUCGCAGUAGAGAGCCAUGGAAAUAGACAGCAUCAUAAAACAGAUAUUUCAAGGCUGUGUGAGCCCCGCCCCACCCUUUCUGGAAGGCGAGGCAUUGGCGACAUUUAACCACCUGUAGGGGCUGAGCUCCUUCACAGCUGCUGCUCCUUUUCUGAACAAACAGCCAAGCUCAGCUGGGAGGCGUCCUUAAAGGUCAGCUCCUCCUCCCUCUAAAGCUUGAAUUUCUCCCCAUGCAUCACUAGUUGUGCCUUUUUUUUCCUGCAAAACCAGUCACCACACUUGAAGCAGACUGAGCACCCACUGCCCAUGGGGUAGGAAGAGUGGUAAUACAAUGGCUGGAGGUCUGGCCCCAUGAGCUGGGUCCUCCUGUAGUAUUUUCAAGCUUGGAAAAGGUACAGCACUGAGAUAAGGGGAGGAAACCCUAGCCACAGAGGUGAUUUUGAUUUGGCUGUCUGGAUGCUGAAGAAUUCCUUUAUUUAUUUAUUUUUAGUCCUUGACGUUCAAUAAUGGCUCACUAUUACUUUGGUUUGAACAGAAGUUCGUUUUAAGAACCUUGAAGACAGAUUUGUGUCCUCCGCAAGUCAAAGUCAAGGCAGCUGCUUCUGGGGGCUGUAGCACCGCUGCUAGAACCAAGAGGUGAGGGCCGCAGAAGGCACCCUGCAAGGUCACUGCAGAUGCAGCUGAGGAGAGGAGUGUAGGGUCAUCUAGAAGAGGCAGCUCUGCCCCCAGGAGCGGGAGAUUUCACCAUCAGACUCCAGAAAUUCUGGUCCCAGAGGCAAGAUGUCCCUACUGUGAGCCUGAUGUUUAAACAUGAACUUCACCUGACUCCCCCUCUUCUGAUUUCAUGUCCUCAUGGCAAUUUUCUGGCGCCAGUGAAGGGCUGCUCAUGUAGAGAGAGAAUGCAAAAAAAAAAAAAAAAAAUACAGAUUUUAAAUAUUUCUGAGUCUCUCACAGUGAUUUCUCAGGGUAAUGAGUGGCUUCUGAUUACCAUUUGGUUUUCCCAGGCUACAGGGAGAAAAGGAGAUUGUUAUGCCAACCUGAAUAAUUCCAGUCUGUGUGACAAUUCUAUUUCUCACUUUAAAUUAAUAUAUUGCCAGCCUGAUGCCUUCCCCAGGUCUUCUGCACAUUUUAAUGGUGUCCUUGUUGUGGUCUUGCUUGUCUCAGAUCGACCUGUUCUUUUGAAAAGCCAGAUACAAAAGCAUAGAAGCAAGGGUUGAAGAAUCAGCAUUUGAAUUUCAGAAUGCUCGAGAGAAGGAGAUUUUGUUGAAGUUGGGUGACUUAACAAACCGACUUAACGAGCACUGUGUUUAUUUUGCGUAAACAUAAUCCCAG
ensembl:lncRNA